rnacentral:rRNA from 1 species
UACGUAGGGGGCUAGCGUUGUCCGGAAUCAUUGGGCGUAAAGAGCUCGUAGGCGGUCUGUCGCGUCGGCUGUGAAAUCCCGAGGCUCAACCUCGGGUCUGCAGUCGAUACGGGCAAACUGGAGUGUUGCAGGGGAGACUGGAAUUCCUGGUGUAGCGGUGAAAUGCGCAGAUAUCAGGAGGAACACCGGUGGCGAAGGCGGGUCUCUGGGCAACAACUGACGCUGAGGAGCGAAAGCGUGGGGAGCGAACAGG